CGCCGCUGGGAGGGGGCGGCGGCGCUACGGCGAGCGGCAGCGGACACGGGGCGGGGGGGACGGCCCCGCGCAGCAGGAAGCGGUUCUGUCGCCGGGCGGGCUUGUGCCGUGUUCGGGUGCCGGGGGUGGAACCCGGGAGUGAGCCGUUACCUCACACCCCUUAGGAGUAUCUUCAUUUUGCACAGCAUCAGUAACAAAAGAAGAAAUCCUGCCUCACUGCAGCACUUUGCCUUCUGCCAGCACAAAUGUUGGUGUAACCAAAAGAUGGAAGUCACGCAGAAAAGAACAGCAUUCAGCUGGAUCAGUUGUUCAGCCACUGUGGAACUACACGAACAUUUGGGGGCAGGUGCUGGGUCAUCUAACACUUGCUCAUGGAGUUGUAUACCAAGAAGCACAAUUUGGAGAUUGUUAUGGGUUACUGGACAGAACAAACUCACUAACAUGGAUUCCCCUUCACCUGUAUAGUGUGAAUGAGUGCUCUGCAGCUUUGAGGAGUGAGAAUGGCAUAGCUUGAGAUGGCUGAUGAGCCUCUCACCUUUAGUUGUCACCUAUUCCCAAGGAGAAGGCCACUCACAAAUGGCUGUUGAACCACAUGUUAUAAAGAGCACUGUGCCUCAGAGGAAACCAUCACCAAAAAGAUGUCACUAGACUGGGACAGCCUGAGAACUGAAUCAGAAGUGACUCAGCCACCAUGCAGCGAGAGCGCAUCUGCUUGGGAUAAGAGCUUCACUAGCUGCCUCUGAGCUAGGUCAUCCCCAUCACUGACUCCCCAGUCCCUGAGGAUAAGCACAUACCAACAUAAUGUUAAGCGGAGUCAAGAAGAGCUACUGCCCUGCCAGCCAAAAAGGGGACAGUUUGGUAUUCUUCCAUUCCUGUAUCACCUCUGCCCCAAAGCCUUUCAGUCUCGAGUGUUUCUGUUCCCUGUUGGUACUCCCUAAAAUUUCCCUAUAGAACUCAGAAGUGAGACUGCAGCAGCCAACUUUUUAUUUAUGUAUUUAUCUUUCCUGGCAAAUAUUGAUUACUUGCAUACUCAAGCCCCUCUCCUUCCCUAACACUUAAUGGACUAGACCUCUCAAUUUCCAUAAAGGCAAUGGAAACUAUCAGUCAAUGCCAAAUGGCUUGCUCAACCAGCAGGAGGAGAGAGUUAAGACUGGCAGUGGUUAAUAGCCACACAUUUAUGGAUACAGCACGUGAGAGGAAAAAACAUGCUCUUAUAUGGUAUUACUGCCUCUUCACUUCGUUUGUCUGAUAUAUUAUUUGCUUUUAGUAACCUCAUUAUUUUAGACAACCUCUUUGUUUUGAAGGCCACACCACAAUUCUUUUGUCAAAUUUCCAAAAUGUAUUCUGUCUUCAGAGUAGUAAGGCUCCCCAUUGCAUCUUUGAGUGUGCUCAUUUGUAACCUGACCAAAAGUACAGAAUAGAGAAAAAGGAUGAAAUUCUUAAUUGUCCUUCCCGUAAGCAAGAGCUGGCUGUAAGAAGAAUAAACUGUAGUAUCUAAAACCAGUGACCAGAAAUCUUCCACCUUACCAGGAAUCUAAAAGCAGAUGGCAUUGCUGCAUCCAUUGAUCCACACAUUCAUGGAAUAGCAGGUAUGCAGUAACAGUAGCAAGAAACUUAUUAGACUUACAUCAGUGAGGUUAAGAUCCUGGGAAUGCAGAGAAAUACUAGCAUGGUAUCUUUGUCAUGAAAAGUUAUGUCCUUCCCAAGAGCAAAAAAUAACUCAAUUUCAGCAUUUUCCAUCCUAAAAGUUCUGCAGCGGAUACCUCCUGGGGAUACGCUCACUGAAGGAAGGGCAAUCUAAUGCUACCUCUACAAACCCAUUUGAUUCAGUGAAAUUCUGCCUUCUCUAUUCAAGACAAAAAGUCCCUCCAUACAUACUUGCAGUCAUAUUACAAUGUUAGCAAGAAUUUACUUCAGAGAGCUUGGGUUUAUUCUGGAAACAAAGGUGAGCACAUGCAUUUCCCAGGACCUCUCAUUUGUCAAUCCAAAGGUCAUUCCUCCCUUCUUUCCUCAUUCCAGUGUCAAUACUCAUUACUGCACUCCAGACACGCAGAGGUACAUCUUCAUCACACCUCAUCACCUUCCAUGGUACCACACACUGUGCCCAGGUGCAAGGAGCCCUGUUCUGACAGCACAGACCAUGGCUAUGUUAAACUCUGCCAAACUGCCAGGCGCUGUUUCCAACCUGUAUGUUGCUCUGCAGUCCUUGCUAUUGAG